ACAAAGGGCCCUGGCUCCAGCUUGGAAGGGGCCACCUCGGCCUAGCCCAGAGCGGCGCUGUCCCUACCCCCAAGUCCCUCUCAGUGGAGGCCCCACCUGUCCCUGAGAUUGGGAGGAUGGAAAGCUAAACUUUUACCAUCCAGAGCCAGCAGAUUCCAGCAAGUCCCCCACCCAAGGGAGGAACCCCAGCCACUUGUCUCAGCCCUCCUCAGUCCUCAAUCCCGUUCGGUCCCCCUCUACCCUUACCAUGGCCAAUUAUUAUGAAGUGCUGGGUGUACAAUCAAGUGCCUCCCCUGAGGACAUCAAGAAGGCCUAUCGAAAGCUGGCUUUGCGUUGGCACCCCGACAAGAACCCUGACAACAAAGAAGAGGCCGAAAAAAAGUUUAAGCAAGUGUCUGAGGCCUAUGAAGUUUUGUCAGACUCUAAGAAGCGUUCUGUGUACGACCGGGCAGGUUGUGAUGGCUGGAGAGCUGGUGGCGGUGCCAGUGUCCCCCAUGCCGGUCCCUUUGGUGCUGGCUAUCCCUUUCGAAAUCCCGAGGAUAUCUUCCGUGAGUUCUUUGGGGGACUGGACCCUUUUUCCUUCGAGUUCUGGGACACUCCGUUCAGCGACCGAGGUCGACCCCAUGGUUUACGUGGAGCCUUCUCUUCGGGCUUCGGUGAAUUCCCAGCGUUCAUGGAAGCCUUUUCAUCUUUUGACACUCUGGGCCAUGGUGGGGGCAGCCACUCCACCUUUUCAUCUACUUCCUUUGGUGGCUCCGGUUCUGGCAGCUCAGGGUUCAAGUCAGUGAUGUCAUCUACCGAGAUGGUGAACGGCCGUAAGGUAACCACCAAGCGCAUCGUUGAGAACGGACAUGAACGUGUGGAGGUGGAAGAAGAUGGAAAGCUCCGGAAGCCAGGUAUCCCAAGAUCGUCAGGGCCAGCCAAGUGCCGCAAGUGUGAUCGCAGAAGCUGUUGACCCUGAGCUCCUGGCUACAGCUCCCUGGAAUACGCCUCAGAGGUUCUCAGCCAGCCGGCAGCUGGAGGCAGAUAACCACGUUACUGAAGGAAGAUCUGAGGCCCCAAGGCUGGGGCACCUGCUGCGACACCACAGGCUAAACGGAUCCUCCAGAGAAUAAAGCCAGAGUCUUAGACUGGU